rnacentral:rRNA from 1 species
CUGUAUGUAUUAAACCCGAAGGNGCAGUGAAAGCAAGUCACAGUUNUGCUGUGAAUUGGCGAGAUCCUGUNUACUAGUGUAGCCGGUAAAAUGGCCACUGUACAGGCGCAUCGCCGGCCCAUCAUAGACUCAUGUAGUCGUGGUGGAGCCUGAGCGUGCACGUUGAGACCCGAAAGAUGGUGAACUAUGCCUGGGCAGGAUCGGCGGUAGCAUUGAAGGCGUACGGGCGUGAGCCUGGCUGGAGCUGCCGUCGGUGCAAAUNUUGGUGGUAGUANCAAAUANUCCAGCGAGAACCUUGAGGNCUGNAGUGGAGAAGGGUUCCAUGUGNCCAGCAGUUGAACAUGGGUCAGUCGACCNUAAGGUAUCGGCGAAAGCCGUUCAGAAGCGGUGUGGAUAUGUANGCAGAAAUGUGUACAGGUUAUUGGGUUACCUGCUGGUUGUGAUGUCCUGGUGUUGGCUGGUAACGGUCGAUGCCGGCGCAUGAUUAGUAGCCAAUAAUCACCGCACCUGCCGAAAGGGAAUCGGGUUAAUAUUCCCGAACCUGGCAUCGGAGACUGAAUGGCCUUCGGGUCAUUACAUGCGGUAACGCAAAUGAACUCAGAGACGCUGACACGUACCCUGGGAAGAGUUAUCUUUUCUUGAUAAGGAGCAAACUCCCUGGAAUCGGAUCAUCCGGCGAUAGGGAGAAAGCAUCCGUAAAGCACCGCGGUUCUUGCGGUAUCCGGUGCGUACGUGUCGGUCCUUGAAAAUCUGAGGGAGAGUGUGAUUUUCGUGCC